CCUACGGGAGGCAGCAGUGGGGAAUCUUGCGCAAUGGGCGAAAGCCUGACGCAGCAACGCCGCGUGCGGGAAGAAGGCCCUAGGGUUGUAAACCGCUUUCAGUAGGAACGAAAAUGACGGUACCUGCAGAAGAAGGUGCGGCCAACUACGUGCCAGCAGCCGCGGUGACACGUAGGCACCAAGCGUUGUCCGGAUUUAUUGGGCGUAAAGAGCUCGUAGGCGGUUGAGUAAGUCGGGUGUGAAAACUCUGGGCUUAACCCAGAGCCGCCACUCGAUACUGCUGUGACUUGAGUUCGGUAGGGGAGCAGGGAAUUCCUAGUGUAGCGGUGAAAUGCGCAGAUAUUAGGAGGAACACCGGUGGCGAAGGCGCUGCUCUGGGCCGAUACUGACGCUGAGGAGCGAAAGCGUGGGUAGCAAACAGGAUUAGAUACCCUGGUAGUCCACGCCGUAAACGUUGGGCACUAGGUGUGGGUUCCAACCAACGGAAUCCGCGCCGUCGCUAACGCAUUAAGUGCCCCGCCUGGGGAGUCGGCGGCAACGCAAAACUCAAAGGAAUUGACGGCUGAGACGNGCCGACGCGACGACGAGGGAGAGG
rnacentral:rRNA from 1 species